GCAUCACCAUCAUCAUAUUUGAUUAGCUUUCAGGCUGUUGACUGGAGGUGUAUGCACGCAAGCUUCCGGAACUCAUUUAGAAAAACCCUCGGAAGAUUUAUCUUUCGGGGGUUUUUUCGU
rfam:Moritella sp. PE36 1099400000589, whole genome shotgun sequence.